rnacentral:rRNA from 1 species
UCGAGGGGUAUAGUUCUUCGGAAUUAGAGACCGGCGCACGGGUGCGUAACGCGUAUGCAAUCUACCUUUCACAGAGGGAUAGCCCAGAGAAAUUUGGAUUAAUACCUCAUAGUAUUAUGGAAUGGCAUCAUUCUGUAAUUAAAGUCACAACGGUGAAAGAUGAGCAUGCGUCCCAUUAGCUAGUUGGUAAGGUAACGGCUUACCAAGGCUACGAUGGGUAGGGGUCCUGAGAGGGAGAUCCCCCACACUGGUACUGAGACACGGACCAGACUCCUACGGGAGGCAGCAGUGAGGAAUAUUGGUCAAUGGGCGCAAGCCUGAACCAGCCAUGCCGCGUGCAGGAUGACGGUCCUAUGGAUUGUAAACUGCUUUUGCACAGGAAGAAACAACUCUACGUGUAGAGUCUUGACGGUACUGUGAGAAUAAGGAUCGGCUAACUCCGUGCCAGCAGCCGCGGUAAUACGGAGGAUCCAAGCGUUAUCCGGAAUCAUUGGGUUUAAAGGGUCCGUAGGCGGUUUAGUAAGUCAGUGGUGAAAGCCCAUCGCUCAACGGUGGAACGGCCAUUGAUACUGCUAGACUUGAAUUAUUAGGAAGUAACUAGAAUAUGUAGUGUAGCGGUGAAAUGCUUAGAGAUUACAUGGAAUACCAAUUGCGAAGGCAGGUUACUACUAAUGGAUUGACGCUGAUGGACGAAAGCGUGGGUAGCGAACAGGAUU